GACUGGAGCUUCAGUAGUCACCUUGUGAGCAUGAAGAAAAGAAUCAGAGGAUCCCAGAGCUCUUUGCCCUAACAUCUAUAACCUGCUGAACCCAUGCCAGCAGUGGCCUCCUUCCAGGCUUCUUGUGAUCAUUAUUUACAGUAUUCAAGAUAUGGAAGCAACCUAAGUAACCAUCAACAGAUGAGUGGACAAAGAAGAUGUGAUAUAUAUAUAUCUGGAAUACUACUCAGCCAUAAAAAAGAAUGAAAGCUUGCCAUUUGUGACAACAUGGAUGGACCUAGAGAGUCUCAUACUAAGUGAAGCAAAUGCUCUGCCGGAUAUUGGAAUCUUGUUCCUGAAAUUAAGUCCAUCCGUGGACACCUGGAUCUCCUGCGGCUGGGACCCACACAUUCAUUGAGACACUGGUGUUGUGUCAUGGAUCUCCACUCUCAACCCUGGCGUCUAUCACAUGAGCCAAGGACUCCCUAGAUGAAGAGGCAGAAUCUUGCGGGUAUUUAGUGGGAGGUGUGAAGGAAGAGAAACUACAACAGAAGUGCCUUCUUAUGGCUGGGUUUACUGAGGUGAUACAGAAUGAGAGAGCGGACCUUCUCCUUCCUCCUGUGCAAGUUCACAGGGUUUGUAAAGGGUGACCAGAAGGCUGAGGCUGGGAACUUCAG